rnacentral:sRNA from 1 species
UUAUCUUCGCAAUCCGUUCUCCUGCAAAGCGGAGAUUGUGUGAUUUUGCAAAGAAGAAUUAUUGAGGAUUGAUUGCAUGGCGCGUAUUGCGGGAAUUAAUAUUCCAGAU